AGACCCGAAACCCGGUGAUCUAGCCAUGGGCAGGUUGAAGGUUGGGUAACACUAACUGGAGGACCGAACCGACUAAUGUUGAAAAAUUAGCGGAUGACCUGUGGCUGGGGGUGAAAGGCCAAUCAAACCGGGAGAUAGCUGGUUCUCCCCGAAAGCUAUUUAGGUAGCGCCUCGUGAAUUCAUCUCCGGGGGUAGAGCACUGUUUCGGCUAGGGGGCCAUCCCGGCUUACCAACCCGAUGCAAACUGCGAAUACCGGAGAAUGUUAUCACGGGAGACACACGGCGGGUGCUAACGUCCGUCGUGAAGAGGGAAACAACCCAGACCGCCAGCUAAGGUCCCAAAGUCAUGGUUAAGUGGGAAACGAUGUGGGAAGGCCCAGACAGCCAGGAUGUUGGCUUAGAAGCAGCCAUCAUUUAAAGAAAGCGUAAUAGCUCACUGGUCGAGUCGGCCUGCGCGGAAGAUGUAACGGGGCUAAACCAUGCACCGAAGCUGCGGCAGCGAACGUAUCACUUAAAGCGAUUCAGCGGGUUACGAUUGACGGAGCGAAGCGACGUCAAAGCGUAUACAAAGUCGAGUCGGUUUAAGGAUACGUUCGUUGGGUAGGGGAGCGUUCUGUAAGCCUGUGAAGGUGGCCUGUGAG
rnacentral:rRNA from 1 species